GUUGUCGUGCCGAGUGGUUAAGGCGAUGGACCUAGAAUCCAUUAGGAUCUUCCUGCGCAGGUUCGAAUCCUGCCGCACAACG